UAGACAGCCAGGAGGUUGGCUUAGAAGCAGCCACCCUUAAAAGAGUGCGUAAUAGCUCACUGGUCGAUGUUUUCUGGCGCCGAAAAUGUAGCGGGGCUCAAGCUGAAUACCGAAGCAACGGGCUUGACUUUAGUCAAGCGGUAGGGGAGCGUUCUGUACGCCUGUGAAGCCGUAUCGUGAGAAGCGGUGGAGGUAUCAGAAGUGCGAAUGCCGGCAUGAGUAGCGUAAAGAGAUGUGAGAAUCAUCUCCGCCGAAAGCCUAAGAUUUCCUGGGCCAGGGUUUUCCACCCAGGGUUAGGCGGGACCUAAGCCGAGGUCGAGAGACGUAGGUGAUGGACAGCCGGUUAAGAUUCCGGCCCCACGGCAACUUGUUUGAUCGAUGGAGUGACGCAGAAAGAUAGUGCUAGCGGCGUGUGGUUGUGCCGCGUCAAGCGUGUAGGGUGUUGGGAUAGGCAAAUCCGUUCCAACUGAGCCUGAGACGUGAUGAGGACCGAACUAAGUAGGGAACUGCAUGUGUCUACGCUGCCGAGAAAAACUUCUAGGUAGAGUUGUCGUGCCCGUAUUGAAACCGACACUGGUGGGCAAGUAGAAUAUACUAAGGCGGCGGGUGAAGCCUUCUUAAGGAACUCGGCAAAUUAACCCCGUAACUUAGGGAAAAGGGGUGCCUUGGAUUGUGUAGGGAUUUACUCCCGAAGCGUUCCGAGGUCGCAGUGAAAGGGCUCAAGCGACUGUUUAACACAAACACAGGUCUCUGCCAAGCCGCAAGGCGACGUAUAGGGGCUGACUCCUGCCCGGUGCUGGAACGUUAAGGGGAGGGCUCAGGGUGCAAACCCGAAGGCUUAAACCGAAGCGCCAGUAAACGGCGGCCGUAACUAUAACGGUCCUAAGGUAGCGAAAUUCCUUGUCGGGUAAGUUCCGACCCGCACGAAUGGAGUAACGACUUGAGCACUGUCUCGAGAAGGGGCCCGGCGAAAUUGCAUUACCUGUGAAGAUGCAGGUUACCCGCAGCAAGACGGAAAGACCCCGUGGAGCUUUACUGUAGCUUGAUGUUGAUUUUUGGUUCGUUCUGUACAGGAUACGUGGGAGGCUAUGAUGGUGCGACGCAAGUUGUAUCGGAGCCGUUGUUGGGAUACCACGCUGGACGGGCUGGAAAUCUAACCUGGAGUGUAAUCCACUUCAGGAACAGCGUCUGGUAGGCAGUUUGACUGGGGCGGUUGCCUCCUAAAGAGUAACGGAGGCGUUCAAAGGUUCCCUCAGCCUGGUCGGGAAUCAGGCGCAGAGUGCAAGCGCAUAAGGGAGCUUGACUGCGAGACGAACAUGUCGAGCAGAGUGGAAACACGGAGCUAGUGAUCCGGCGGUGCCGAGUGGAAGGGCCGUCGCUUAUCGGAUAAAAGCUACCCCGGGGAUAACAGGCUUAUCACGCCCAAGAGUCCAUAUCGACGGCGUGGUUUGGCACCUCGAUGUCGGCUCAUCGCAUCCUGGGGCUGAAGUAGGUCCCAAGGGUUGGGCUGUUCGCCCAUUAAAGCGGUACGUGAGCUGGGUUCAGAACGUCGUGAGACAGUUCGGUCCCUAUCUGCUGUGGGCGUAGGAAGUUUGAGAAGAUCUGUCCUUAGUACGAGAGGACCGGGAUGGACAGACCUCUGGUGAACCAGUUGUCAUGCCAGUGGCAAAGCUGGGUAGCUAAGUCUGGAAGGGAUAAACGCUGAAAGCAUCUAAGCGUGAAGCCCACUUCAAGAUGAGACUUCCCUCCCUUUCGAGGGGUAAGAGUCCUGGAAGACGACCAGGUUGAUAGGCCGGGUGUGGAAGCGCAGUAAUGCGUGCAGCGAACCGGUACUAAUAACUCGAGCGACUUCAUAAA
rnacentral:rRNA from 1 species